rnacentral:lncRNA from 1 species
CAAAUAAUAAAAUAAAUACAUUUACUCCUACAUAGUUUUGUUUAUAAUAAGGAUUAUAACUUCUGAGGAUGUAUUUGAUAACAGCAGAAAAGCAGCCUGAUACUACGUACUCAUGUAUAAUCCUUCACAUUAAAAAGAAAUCAAAGUAUUGAAGAACAGCUGAAAAUGUUUUUGCAAAGCUCUCUGGGGAUGAGGGAGAGUUAAAG